AAAAGAGGACUUGGAGGUGGCCACACUAUGAACUGCAUUAAUUAUUCAUAUUUUCUUUUAUAUUACUUAAAUUAUUUUAUCUUUGGGUUUUUGAUGUAAUAAGGCCAUUUCUUUAAUUUUCUAGUUUUUAAUUUGGAGGUUUUAACAAUUACGAUUUAUUUUUGUUAAAAGUAGAGUACGGUUUUCCAAAAUGAUAUUUGUU
rnacentral:lncRNA from 1 species